rnacentral:tRNA from 1 species
GCCGCUGUAGCUCAAAUGGUAGAGUGCAAGGGGCCUAACCUUGAGGUGCUGGUUCGAUACCAGCCGGUGGCA